CAAUAGCGGAUAUUAAAGUUGUUGCAGUUAAAAAGCUCGUAGUUGGAUUUCUGGUUGAAGCGACCGGUCGGGCGUUGAUUCGUCUGCACUGGAGUCGGUUUUGGCCAUCCUCUAGGAAAGUGCGUCUGGUAUUAAGUUAUCGGGCGUAUGAUCCUGGUCUUUUACUGUGAAAAAAUUAGAGUGUUUAAAGCAGGCCUUCGCCUUGAAUACAUUAGCAUGGAAUAAUAAGAUAGGACUUUGGUCUAUUUUGUUGGUUUGCAGACCGAAGUAAUGAUUAAUAGGGAUAGUUGGGGGUAUUUAUAUUCCGAUGUCAGAGGUGAAAUUCUUAGAUUUUCGGAAGAUAAACUUAUGCGAAAGCAUUUACCAAGGAUGUUUNCAUUAA
rnacentral:rRNA from 1 species